GGGUUGUGAGGUUAAGCGACUAAGCGUACACGGUGGAUGCCCUGGCAGUCAGAGGCGAUGAAGGACGUGCUAAUCUGCGAAAAGCGUCGGUAAGGUGAUAUGAACCGUUACAGCCGGCGAUGUCCGAAUGGGGAAACCCAGUGCAAUUCGUUGCACUAUCGUUAACUGAAUACAUAGGUUAACGAGGCGAACCGGGGGAACUGAAACAUCUAAGUACCCCGAGGAAAAGAAAUCAACCGAGAUUCCCCCAGUAGCGGCGAGCGAACGGGGAGCAGCCCGGAGUCUGAAUCAGCUUGUGUGUUAGUGGAAGCGUCUGGAAAGUCGCAGGGUACAGGGUGAUACUCCCGUACACUAAAACACACAGGCUGUGAACUCGAAGAGUAGGGCGGGACACGUGGUAUCCUGUCUGAAUAUGGGGGGACCAUCCUCCAAGGCUAAAUACUCCUGACUGACCGAUAGUGAACCAGUACCGUGAGGGAAAGGCGAAAAGAACCCCGGCGAGGGGAGUGAAAAAGAACCUGAAACCGUGUACGUACAAGCAGUAGGAGCCCAA
rnacentral:rRNA from 1 species